GAUGAACGCUGGCGGCGUGCCUAAUACAUGCAAGUCGAGCGAACGGACGAGAGGCUUGCUUCUCUGAUGUUAGCGGCGGACGGGUGAGUAACACGUGGAUAACCUACCUAUAAGACUGGGAUAACUUCGGGAAACCGGAGCUAAUACCGGAUAAUAUUUUGAACCGCAUGGUUCAAAAGUGAAAGACGGUCUUGCUGUCACUUAUAGAUGGAUCCGCGCUGCAUUAGCUAGUUGGUAAGGUAACGGCUUACCAAGGCAACGAUGCAUAGCCGACCUGAGAGGGUGAUCGGCCACACUGGAACUGAGACACGGUCCAGACUCCUACGGGAGGCAGCAGUAGGGAAUCUUCCGCAAUGGGCGAAAGCCUGACGGAGCAACGCCGCGUGAGUGAUGAAGGUCUUCGGAUCGUAAAACUCUGUUGUUAGGGAAGAACAUAUGUGUAAGUAACUGUGCACAUCUUGACGGUACCUAAUCAGAAAGCCACGGCUAACUACGUG
rnacentral:rRNA from 1 species